rnacentral:miRNA from 1 species
GGGCCUCUCUUGUCAUCCUGCAG